rnacentral:rRNA from 1 species
CGGGGAAUUAGGGUUCGAUUCCGGAGAAGGAGCCUGAGAAACGGCUACCACCUCCAAGGAAGGCAGCAGGCGCGCAAAUUACCCAAUCCCGACUCGGGGAGGUAGUGACAAUAAAUACUGAUACGGGGCUCUUUGGGGUCUGGUAAUGGGAAUGACUACAAUUUAAUCCCCUUAACGAGAAACAUUUGGAGGGCAAGUCUGGUGCCAGCAGCCGCGGUAAUUCCAGCUCCAAUAGCGUGCAUUAAAGUUGUUGCAGUUAAAAACCUCGAACUUGAACCUUGGUUCUGGCUGGCCGGUGCCCUUCCCUGCGUGCACUGUUCCCCGUGCCUUUCUUCCUUCUGGGCAACCCCAUGGCCUUCCCUGGCUGUGGGGGAAACCAGGA